CCUACGGGGUGCAGCAGUGGGGAAUAUUGGGCAAUGGGCGCAAGCCUGACCCAGCAACGCCGCGUGAAGGAAGAAGGCUCUCGGGUUGUAAACUUCUUUUAUCCGGGACGAAGCAAGUGACGGUACCUGAUGAAUAAGCCACGGCUAACUACGUGCAAGCAGCCGCGGUAAUACGUAGGUGGCAAGAGUUAUCCGGAUUUACUGGGUGUAAAGGGCGUGUAGGCGGGAAAGCAAGUCAGAUGUGAAAACCAUGGGCUCAACCUGUGGCCUGCAUUUGAAACUGGUUUUCUUGAGUACUGGAGAGGCAGACGGAAUGCCUAGUGUAGCGGUGAAAUGCGUAGAUAUGAGGAGGAACACCAGUGGCGAAGGCGGUCUGCUGGACAGCAACUGACGCUGAGGCGCGAAAGCGUGGGGAGCAAACAGGAUUAGAGACCCCAGUAGUC
rnacentral:rRNA from 1 species